GACGAACGCUGGCGGCGUGCUUAACACAUGCAAGUCGAACGAUGAAGCCCAGCUUGCUGGGUGGAUUAGUGGCGAACGGAUGAGUAACACGUGGGCAACCUGCCCCAAACUCUGGGAUAACUCCUCGAAAGAGGUGCUAAUACCGGAUACGAACUAGGUAGACAUCUGCACUAGUUGGAAAGUUUUUCGGUUUGGGAUGGGCCCGCGGCCUAUCAGCUUGUUGGUGAGGUAACGGCUCACCAAGGCUACGACGGGUAACCGGCCUGGGAGGGCGACCGGUCACACUGGGACUGAGACACGGCCCAGACUCCUACGGGAGGCAGCAGUGGGGAAUAUUGCGCAAUGGGCGAAAGCCUGACGCAGCGACGCCGCGUGAGGGAUGAAGGUCUUCGGAUCGUAAACCUCUUUCAGUAGGGACGAAGCGAAAGUGACGGUACCUAAAGAAGAAGCACCGGCUAACUACGUACCAGCCGCCGCGGUAA
rnacentral:rRNA from 1 species